rnacentral:sRNA from 1 species
CUUUCCACCUUCCAGACCUUCCAACGUCUAAAAGUCGCAUCGGUCAGCCAUUAGUCCGGCUCCUGUUCCCUUUCAGGCCUCGGCUAUUCUGUCCUCAUCCUUCCUUCUCGCCACCCUCUUUGAUUGAGCGUCGGGCUUUUACGCUGACCGGCGUGACGUCCCUGACACUUACCAAUCUUCCUUUGGCGCUUCGUGAAGAGAAAGAUAAGCUCAUUGUUCAACAUCCAGACCACUUUCAGGUUCAUCAUAUCAUCGGUAAUUCUUCUGCCUGUUAGCAAGGUGAGUCAAGUCACGUGGACACUAAAUUGAUUUAGAAUUACUUUCCCAACUCGGCCGGUGACGAAAAGGUGAGGGUUUUCAUUUGUGUUUCUGCCCAACAGGAGAAGGUUGUUAUCAAUGGAGCUUGACUAUAUCGAGGAGAACGUGUUCAAGUAUUACAUUGUUAGAUCGUUAGAAGUUGUAGAAAAGAUAUCGUACCCUAUCGCAUGAAGAAGCGAGCCGCCAUUCGACCUUCAAUCCCUCGUGGUGGUAAACCAAUUAACUAGAACCUAUUUUGUUGAUAAAUUUGUUUUCAAUCCUUAUUUGAG